GUGGGGAUGCGCAGAAGCAGAAGUGAUCACUUUGAGGGACUCGGAACCGAUGUUCAAUCUAGCUGUCCCUGCCAGGAGAAGUCUUUGUACCUCCACCCUCUGGCAAAGGGAGGAAUGAGAAAAGACAAGAUUAAGAAAAAUAUUCAGAGGAAAGGGACAGAGAGUGAGUUAGCUGGGACCGGAAGCGACACACUAGAAUUCCUGGUUCCUCCCCCUCCACCCAAGACCCCUCCCAAUGAACAAUCCACGGAAGAAGGGUACAGGGAUACAUAAAGGAAGAAUGAAGAACAACAAUGUUCGUGAUAACACAGUCUGGCAACAGCACAACAUGACCC